ACCCAGCCCCGACCCUGCAGCUCUGGGGAGGAGCCCAGCCCCGACCCUGCAGCUCUGGGGAGGAGCCCAGCCCCGACCCUGCAGCUCUGGGGAGGAGGCCAGCCCCGACCCUGCAGCUCUGGGGAGGAGCCCAGCCCUGACCCUGCAGCUCUGGGGAGGAGCCCAGCCCUGGCAUUUUCAGCUGUUUUCAUUUGGUGAUCAGGACGGAACACAGAGGACGCACCAUGGAGUUUGGGCCGAGCUGGCUUUUUCUUGUUGCUAUUUUAAAAGGUGUCCAGUGUGAGGUGCAGCUGGUGGAGUCUGGGGGAGGCUUGGUACAGCCUGGGGGGUCCCUAAGACUCUCCUGUGCAGCCUCUGGAUUCACCUUCAGUGACCACUACCUGAGCUGGGUCCGCCAGGCUCCAGGAAAGGGGCUGGAAUGGGUAAGUUUCAUGAGAAACAAUGCUAAUGGUGGGAGAACAGAAUAUGCCGCGUCUGUGAAAGGCAGAUGCACCAUCUCAAGAGAUGAUUCCAAAAGCAUCACCAGUCUGCAAAUGAGCAGCCUGAAAACGGAGGACACGGCCGUGUAUUACUGUGCCAGAGACACAGUGAGGGGAGGUCAGUGUGAGCCCAGACGCAAACCUCCCUGCAGGGACGCGCGGAUCCCCCAAGGGGCGUUCGGGACCCACUGA